GUGUCUCGGCUGGCGGGAGCCGGGGACGGGAAAGGAGAGUGCUCGUUGCUCUACAGGGUGGCUCCCAUUUUUAUAGAAGAGGAAAUGGAAGUACAAUGUAGUAAAACAAAUUGCCCUAAUUCACACAGCUACUGAGAAGCCAUUGGGGUUACGGACUCAGGCAACUGGACUCCACUGCCACUGUUAGGCCAAUUCGAGAUCCUGCCACUUUGUAUAAUUAUCUUGCUUGUGUUAACAUUGUAGGUAGGCUUUGUGUAAUACUGGGCAUACAGACAUUAUGCUAAUAUGACUCCAUAACACCUGACUGCAAAACCUAAAGAGGAUGCUAAUAUGACUCCAUAACAGCUGACUGCAAAACCUAAAGAGGAUGCUAAUGUAACUCCAUAACACCUGACUGCAAAACCUAAAGAGGAUGCUAAUAUGACUCCAUAACACCUGACUGCAAAACCUAAAGAGGAUGCUAAUAUGACUCCAUAACACCUGACUGCAAAACCUAAAGAGGAUGCUAAUAUGACUCCAUAACACCUGACUGCAAAACCUAAAGAGGAUGCUAAUGUGACUCCGUAACACCUGACUGCAAAACCUAAAGAGGAUGCUAAUGUGACUCCGUAACACCUGACUGCAAAACCUAAAGAGGAUGCUAAUGUGACUCCGUAACACCUGACUGCAAAACCUAAAGAGGAUGCUAAUGUGACUCCGUAACACCUGACUGCAAAACCUAAAGAGGAUGCUAAUGUGACUCCGUAACACCUGACUGCAAAACCUAAAGAGGAUGCUAAUGUGACUCCGUAACACCUGACUGCAAAACCUAAAGAGGAUGCUAAUGUGACUCCGUAACACCUGACUGCAAAACCUAAAGAGGAUGCUAAUGUGACUCCGUAACACCUGACUGCAAAACCUAAAGAGGAUGCUAAUGUGACUCCGUAACACCUGACUGCAAAACCUAAAGAGGAUGCUAAUAUGACUCCAUAACAGCUGACUGCAAAACCUAAAGAGGAUGCUAAUGUAACUCCGUAACACCUGACUGCAAAACCUAAAGAGGAUGCUAAUAUGACUCCGUAACACCUGACUGCAAAACCUAAAGAGGAUGCUAAUGUGACUCCGUAACACCUGACUGCAAAACCUAAAGAGGAUGCUAAUGUGACUCCGUAACACCUGACUG
rnacentral:lncRNA from 10 species